CUUGCUUCAGACAGGUUAGCGGCGGACGGGUGAGUAACACGUAGGCAACCUGCCCGCAAGACCGGGAUAACGUAGGGAAACUUACGCUAAUACCGGAUAGGGCACCUUCUCGCAUGAGAGGGUGCGGAAAGGUGGCGCAAGCUACCACUUGCGGAUGGGCCUGCGGCGCAUUAGCUAGUUGGUGGGGUAACGGCCUACCAAGGCGACGAUGCGUAGCCGACCUGAGAGGGUGACCGGCCACACUGGGACUGAGACACGGCCCAGACUCCUACGG
rnacentral:rRNA from 1 species